rnacentral:ncRNA from 1 species
ACUAAAAGAGGUGGAAAUUAGGGAGUCCACACGCUUACAGCUUUAGAAGUAGAACACAGCUAAAGUCAAUAGUGAUAGAUACCCAUUGCUAGGGAUAGCAUUGAUAAGGAUAAGAGAUGAGGGGAGUUUCUCUCCCUCCUUUUAGU